CCUACGGGUGGCAGCAGUGGGGAAUAUUGGGCAAUGGGCGCAAGCCUGACCCAGCAACGCCGCGUGAAGGAAGAAGGCUCUCGGGUUGUAAACUUCUUUUAUCAGGGACGAAGCAAGUGACGGUACCUGAUGAAUAAGCCACGGCUAACUACGGGCCAGCAGCCGCGGUAAUACGUAGGUGGCAAGCGUUAUCCGGAUUUACUGGGUGUAAAGGGCGUGUAGGCGGGAAAGCAAGUCAGAUGUGAAAACCCUGGGCUCAACCUUUGGCCUGCAUUUGAAACUGUUUUUCUUGAGUACUGUAGAGGCAGACGGAAUUCCUAGUGUAGCGGUGACAUGCGUAGCUAUUAGGAGGAACACCAGUGGCGAAGGCGGUCUGCUGGACAGCACCUGACGCUGAGGCGCGACAGCGUGGGGAGCAAACAGGAUUAGAUACCCUUGUAGUC
rnacentral:rRNA from 1 species